AGAGUUUGAUCCUGGCUCAGGAUGAACGCCUUCGGUGUGCCUAAUACAUGCAAGUCGUACGCACUGGCCCAACUGAUUGAUGGUGCUUGCACCUGAUUGACGAUGGAUCACCAGUGAGUGGCGGACGGGUGAGUAACACGUAGGUAACCUGCCUCGGAGCGGGGGAUAACAUUUGGAAACAGAUGCUAAUACCGCAUAACAACAAAAGCCACAUGGCUUUUGUUUGAAAGAUGGCUUUGGCUAUCACUCUGGGAUGGACCUGCGGUGCAUUAGCUAGUUGGUAAGGUAACGGCUUACCAAGGCAAUGAUGCAUAGCCGAGUUGAGAGACUGAUCGGCCACAAUGGAACUGAGACACGGUCCAUACUCCUACGGGAGGCAGCAGUAGGGAAUCUUCCACAAUGGGCGCAAGCCUGAUGGAGCAACACCGCGUGAGUGAAGAAGGGUUUCGGCUCGUAAAGCUCUGUUGUUGGAGAAGAACGUGCGUGAGAGUAACUGUUCACGCAGUGACGGUAUCCAACCAGAAAGUCACGGCUAACUACGUGCCAGCAGCCGCGGUAAUACGUAGGUGGCAAGCGUUAUCCGGAUUUAUUGGGCGUAAAGCGAGCGCAGGCGGUUGCUUAGGUCUGAUGUGAAAGCCUUCGGCUUAACCGAAGAAGUGCAUCGGAAACCGGGCGACUUGAGUGCAGAAGAGGACAGUGGAACUCCAUGUGUAGCGGUGGAAUGCGUAGAUAUAUGGAAGAACACCAGUGGCGAAGGCGGCUGUCUGGUCUGCAACUGACGCUGAGGCUCGAAAGCAUGGGUAGCGAACAGGAUUAGAUACCCUGGUAGUCCAUGCCGUAAACGAUGAGUGCUAGGUGUUGGAGGGUUUCCGCCCUUCAGUGCCGGAGCUAACGCAUUAAGCACUCCGCCUGGGGAGUACGACCGCAAGGUUGAAACUCAAAGGAAUUGACGGGGGCCCGCACAAGCGGUGGAGCAUGUGGUUUAAUUCGAAGCUACGCGAAGAACCUUACCAGGUCUUGACAUCUUGCGCUAACCUUAGAGAUAAGGCGUUCCCUUCGGGGACGCAAUGACAGGUGGUGCAUGGUCGUCGUCAGCUCGUGUCGUGAGAUGUUGGGUUAAGUCCCGCAACGAGCGCAACCCUUGUUACUAGUUGCCAGCAUUAAGUUGGGCACUCUAGUGAGACUGCCGGUGACAAACCGGAGGAAGGUGGGGACGACGUCAGAUCAUCAUGCCCCUUAUGACCUGGGCUACACACGUGCUACAAUGGACGGUACAACGAGUCGCAAGCUCGCGAGAGUAAGCUAAUCUCUUAAAGCCGUUCUCAGUUCGGACUGUAGGCUGCAACUCGCCUACACGAAGUCGGAAUCGCUAGUAAUCGCGGAUCAGCAUGCCGCGGUGAAUACGUUCCCGGGCCUUGCACACACCGCCCGUCA
rnacentral:rRNA from 1 species